rnacentral:rRNA from 1 species
AACGAACGCUGGCGGCAUGCCUAACACAUGCAAGUCGAACGAGACCUUCGGGUCUAGUGGCGCACGGGUGCGUAACGCGUGGGAACCUGCCUUUAGGUUCGGAACAACUCAGAGAAAUUUGAGCUAAUACCGGAUGAUGUCUUCGGACCAAAGAUUUAUCGCCUUUAGAUGGGCCCGCGUUGGAUUAGCUAGUUGGUGGGGUAAAGGCCUACCAAGGCGACGAUCCAUAGCUGGUCUGAGAGGAUGAUCAGCCACACUGGGACUGAGACACGGCCCAGACUCCUACGGGAGGCAGCAGUGGGGAAUAUUGGACAAUGGGCGAAAGCCUGAGCCAGCAAUGCCGCGUGAGUGAUGAAGGCCUUAGGGUUGUAAAGCUCUUUUACCCGAGAUGAUAAUGACAGUAUCGGGAGAAUAAGCUCCGGCUAACUCCGUG